AUCGCAGAUGAUUUUACUGCUUGUGUAAUCAUAAUAACCAGUUUGCACGUCAGGUUUUGCCACAUCUAAGAGAAGUCAUUUUCCCUGACUUGAAGUCACCCUAAAAUCAACUUCUGUUGUCAUUAAAUGUGUCGCAUAUUGAUGAAUAUACCUAUCAGAUUCACAUAGAUUAAAAAUAAAUACUCGUUGAUGUAAUACUGGAUUCAAGAGCAACAUACAAGUUUUGGACACAUCAUCCAAUUUCUCUGUUAAGUAUAAAAGUUUGUUAUAAAGGCUAGUAAAUUUUCUGUGCCUUUUUUUUUUUUUUUUUUUUUUUUUUUUUUAGCAAAUAUUAAUCAAGAGGAGAACAGAUUUUCUCUGCUAGAAGAAAACAGUAAAGACUGGUUCAUGACACGGUCUGCCCAGAAGGUUGAUCAUUAUAAAUUACUUUAUUGACCCAUGGCUCUGCUCAGCAUCCUGCGCUUCAGUGAACUGAGCAAUCAACACAUGAUAAAUGCAGGCACUGUAGAGCUUUCAGGCUUUGCUCCAGCUUUGCUAGUGACAAGCAGCAUCAUAACAACAACAACACUGGGCACUGAUACUUGUUUUACUGGCAUAAGAUAAUAAAGAGUACACACUAAUCUCAUAGUGGCAAUUUUACUAAUUAAAUUCUAUACUUCAUUACAAGGUGUUUUUUGAAAAUCUUCAAGGAAGUGCUUGAUGUACAACAGUGCAUAGUGUUAAUGGGCAAACGUCCAAGACUGGGUGCCUUAGAACAUAGAAGCUUACCUGAAGCUGUUUCAAAUUUGCUGUCUCAAAAUAGCACAAGGAUCUUUAAAAGAGAAGGUUUCUCUGCAAAAUGUUUACUUUUGAUCUCAGUAUUGAGAAAGUAUUGUAUGUUAUAAGUGAAAAGACAAAAUAAGAUAUGUUUAUAUUACUUAAUUAAACUCAAGAAAAUGCACCAGAUACAAGAAUUGUGCCUGAUGCCAAAAAAAAAAAGCCCAUUCAUUUUCACUUCAGUUACAUGUUUUCCUGUGCUUGUGUCCAAGCCAAAGAGUUUCUUCUUAUUUCCAGUUAAAAAUUAAAACACUGGUUUCAGAAUUGUCCCUACAUAACUAUAAGUACUGCUGUGUUACUUAGAACUAAAACUACUGUUGGCUCUUAAGAAGUAUGGAAGAACAAAGCACUGCAAAAUAUUUUCAACAGAUCUUGGAAUUCAGAAAAGUCUAUGUAUCCCCAUGAAAAA
rnacentral:lncRNA from 1 species